AGCUUUGGAAAGAGGAUGGAAUUUCAGCAAUGCCUUUGGGUAGGACUUGACGCAGCUGGUGGAGGGAUGACAGAAAGGAGUUACUCUUUCAGAAACUGUCCCCACCGGGCUAGGAUAUGCAACAGACCUGUGGCCCAGUGUGUGGAACAAGGUAUUCUUGAAGACUGUGUUUCCUCAGCAUGUUCCUGCUGUGCUGGAGGUCCUGGGAUCUGUGACCAUGACCAUACCUUGCCCCUGAUCCUUGAAGGAAUAUGACUUAGCCCUGACGCUUCAACCCCAUGGUUGACGUAAGGAUUCGAAGUUCUAACACCUUUCCAGGCUGAGCCUCCAACCUCCUAGAAGUCUCUCACCACACAAUGUGAAGCACACUUUAGAGAAGAGCUGUGACGAACGGUCAUCUGAGGGAGUAUGAUCAUCAGUCUGACAAAACAUUCAAGAUGGAUCACCAUUGCCUAUGGAUUUUAAUAUUGGCACAGACUUUGAAGAUUAUCUGGCCUAAUCUAUUAUUUUAAAGAUGAAAUUAAGAACAAA